rnacentral:rRNA from 1 species
CAGGAUGAACGCUAGCGGCAGGCCUAAUACAUGCAAGUCGAGGGGUAGAUUUAACUUCGGUUGAAUUGAGACCGGCGGACGGGUGCGUAACGCGUAUGCAACCUACCCAUUACAGGGGGAUAGCCCGGGGAAACUCGGAUUAAUACCCCAUAGUAUUAUUGAUUGGCAUCGAUUAAUAAUUAAAGAUUUAUUGGUAAUGGAUGGGCAUGCGUCUGAUUAGUUAGUUGGUGAGGUAACGGCUCACCAAGACGACGAUCAGUAGGGGGUCUGAGAGGAUGAUCCCCCACACUGGCACUGAGAUACGGGCCAGACUCCUACGGGAGGCAGCAGUAGGGAAUAUUGGUCAAUGGGCGAGAGCCUGAACCAGCCAUGCCGCGUGCAGGAUGACGGCCUUCUGGGUUGUAAACUGCUUUUGUCAGGGAAGAAAAAGACUAUGCGUAGUCAAUUGCCGGUACCUGAUGAAUAAGCACCGGCUAACUCCGUGCCAGCAGCCGCGGUAAUACGGAGGGUGCGAGCGUUGUCCGGAUUUAUUGGGUUUAAAGGGUGCGUAGGCGGGCCUUUAAGUCAGUGGUGAAAGCCCAUCGCUCAACGAUGGAACUGCCAUUGAUACUGGAGGCCUUGAGUUCAGUUGAGGUAGGCGGAAUUUAUGGUGUAGCGGUGAAAUGCAUAGAUACCAUAAAGAACACCGAUUGCGAAGGCAGCUUACUGGGCUUGAACUGACGCUGAGGCACGAAAGCGUGGGGAUCGAACAGGAUUAGAUACCCUGGUAGUCCACGCCGUAAACGAUGAUCACUCGCUGUUGGCGAUACACUGUCAGCGGCCAAGCGAAAGCGUUAAGUGAUCCACCUGGGGAGUACGGCCGCAAGGUUGAAACUCAAAGGAAUUGACGG